GGCUGUCACAGCUGGACUCGCUCCCUCCCUGUUUACUUUCGCUUCUCCAAGUUGCCCGUGACCUCCGCUUAUCCCGUCAAGGAGAAUUGCACUGCGGCCGCUCCGCGUGGGACGUGUGCCGGGUACGGCACACACCCACCCUGAAACCGAUGGACGAUGCUCUACAGAAGCUAUCAGUCGUAUUGUCAUCGGCUGCAGCAUGACAUGUAUUUCCUUACAAGCACUAGCCGACUGAAUGAGCAAGUGGUUGAUAAAAUUGUUCUUCAGCUUAACAGAGUCUAUCCCCAAAUUCUUACCAAUGAAGAAGCAGAAAAGUUCAGGAACCCAAAGGCAUCACUCCAUACCAGGCUCUCAGAUCUGUUAAAACACCUCCAAAAGAAAGGAGACAGACACUGUCAGGAGUUUUACAGGGCUCUGCAGAUCAAUGCUGAACAGCUGUUUAAUGACCUGCCAAGCAGAAAAAUCUUGAAAACCCCAGAUCCCACAGAGAUAGACACUGACAAGGAGCAAUAUAUGCUAAAUGACAGGGGCCCAGUGUUUUUCCUGGCGUGUUUCAGUGUGGCUGCAGGACUGGCCCUUUUCUGGUAUUGCUGUAACUCAGCCUUGGUUUUAGCCACCCUGGGGGUCUCCUGGUGCUCCAGCCCUGCGGGUGCUGUCCGGAGGCUGCUCUGAGCCGUCCUGCGGUGCCUCACCUCCAGCCCCGCCGGCUCCAGUGACGGCCGGGACAGGCAGGGAUAAAUGCUGGCUUCCCGUGGCUGCUCCCUGCUGAACGCUCCGCUGCAUCAGAAAGAGAGAGCUGACGUUGUUUCUCCUCUGUGGGCUCUGAGCUAAUUCAUUUUAAAAGCUCCUAGUGAAGGCUGGAAAAAUGAUGCCUGUGCCUCUUAAAUAUUCCUGAUCCAUAAUGGUUGCAUAGAGCUGGAUUUUGUUUCACCUGUGCCUCUGGAACUGGCUCACAGCCAAUUUAACAUGGCUACUUUGCUCUGCUGUGCAAGAACUCUGUUCUGCCAGGAGGUAGGGAGAUAACUUACAUCAGAUUGGAAUCAAAUUCAAAGUCUAGGUGUAACAGGUAAAAUUAUAGCAGAAAAUAAUACUUAAUAUCAAUAGCAAUAAUUUAGAUAGCAGUUUUCUAUUAAAGAAUUGCAGUGAUAUCUUUCAGGGUAUUCCCAGGCCAGGAGCCCUGUGAAAUAAAAGUGAAACUCAUCUUGGUGAUCUCAGAGUCAAUAAGAAAACAAGUAGGAAGUAAAUUCCUCAUUCUGAGCUGGAUGAAAUUCAGCCCUGGAUGAGUCUAGGCUGGUCCUGACUCUGGAACAAUGAACAAGACACAUCAUUCCAUCACACCCUGUGUCUGCAAGUGAAGAGGAUGUACAAAUUAAGCAAAAUAUUAUCAGUGACAUCAGGUUUGAAGACUGCAGGACCUCUGUGUGAUAACCAGAGUCCCUUCAAGAGGCUCUGAGGUGUCCUACCAGUGCAGCUGUGGGGUAUGGGGCUUUCAAAACUGUUUUUCUACUCACAUGGAGAAGAAAGAAUUUUUAUGGAGUACGAAGAAGAACAUUGACCCACACAGGUGCAUUGUGGCUUGCUCCCAAUGCUCCCCAGUUAGUGCACAUCACACAGUUUGUGAAGUUCAGUCUUGUUCCCAAGUCACGUUGCCAGGAUUUUAAACUCUGCAAGGGAUGGAGAAGCCUGAGGGGAUACAGUCAUUUCUUUCCUGAGUGAUGCUCUCCUUGGCAUGCCUGGUGAAUUAUGUUUUCUGAUCUGACACAGAAAAAAAUAACUCCUAUUUCAGGGUAAAGACACAUAGUUGUCUCCCUCCAUAUCUUCCACAAGUCCAAAACAAAUCUGAAACAUAAGGCCUUCCCAAGAGUUUAGAUUAUUUUCAUCCUUCAUGCCAGAAAUCUGUGGUAAUGUUGGGUGGGAUGAAACUGAUUUAUUCUCAAAUAUUUUUGGUACCAGUGAAUAUGUUUUGCAAUGUUUCAGUAGUCCUGGUGUGGUACUUCCUAGCAUGGCACCAUAUUUACACUCAUUUCUCAACUAGUUAAAACUUGUACCAUUAAAAAGGGAGUGGGGAACUUCUGGGCUGGAAGACUGGAAAGAAGAGGAGUGGAAAACAUCAGGAAGGAGGCUGAAUGAAAAAGGAACCUGAGUUUCUGCCAUCUCUAUUUCUGACAAAGCCUGACUUGCCUGAUGAGGAUCUAUUGAUAAUUCUCUGUUCCUGACUGGGAGCUGUGGCACUCUCUUCUUGGGAAGGCAGCCAGAUGUACUUCCGACAAUAUGUGUUUGCUUCCUGACAUGCCCAAGAGUAGUCUGCUGUCAAUCAGCUCGAGUUGUUCGGUCAGCUCUGCCCAUGAUUCUGCCCUCUCUGCCCUCCCACCGCUGCCUGAUGUGUUCCAAUGUCAGGAUGGGAAUACUCAGUGAUGGGGAGAGGAGUGAAACUCCAGGUACAGCUGACAUGUCACCCUGCAGCACUUGGAUGCAACCCAGCCUCUGAUGGAAACUCUGCCCUGAGGCCUGCUGUGACCAUGUUGUUAUUUAUCUCUUCCUGGAGCACCUUCUCUCAUUUAUUUCAGUUUACUUCUUUCUCUAGGACAUCUCAGCUUCUGUCUCUGGUUCAGCUUUGUUGAUCACCUGUGAAUACUAACAGGCUCCAGCAAGACUGCUGCAAGCAUUAGGUGGUGGGGUCCUGGUGGUGGUCUGCCUCCCCCAGCCCCUUUUCAAGUUGCACCAAGAUCUGAGAAAUACACCUGGGCUCAGCUUCUCUUGGGCUUAUCAGAAACACAAUCUGCUCCAGGAACUGGUGCUGUCCAAUUCCUCCCAAUGCCCAACCUGACCCUCCCCUGGCACAGUUUGAGGCCCUUCUGUCUCCUCCUGUCCUUGCUUCCUGGGAGCAGAGCCAGAACCCCCUUAGCUGUCCCCUUCCCAUCAGGGAGUUGUGCAGAGCCAAGAGGUUCCCCCUGAGCCUCCUUUUCUCCAGGCUGAGCCCCUUUCCCAGCUCCGUUCCCUUCUCUGGACACACUCCAGCCCCUCAAGCUCUUUCUUGUUGUGAGGGGCUCAAAAUUGACCCCAGAAUGUGCAGCACAGGGAAUGGGCACUGCCCUGGUCCUACUUACCCACCUGGGCUCCUGUUCAGCCACCACCACCAGCAAACCCAGGGCCUUUCCUGCCAGUCCCUUCCAGCCCCUCUGGCUCAGCCUGUAGCUGCAGGGGCUGUUGUGACCCAAGGACAGGACCUGGCACUUGGCCUUGUUCAAGCUCAGAUCACUGGCCUUGGAUCCAGCCUCUCCAGAUAAAACUAUGGCCUGACACCACAUCAAUACCCCCAGCAACCUUAGUGUCAUCUGCAAACUCACUGAGGGUAAAGAAGUUGUUAAUUCAUACAACUGAAUGGCAGUUGAGGGGAUACAGAAACCAGGAUGGUGUUUUCUGCUUCAGCCUAUUUUAUGUAAGACUCAGCAUCAGAAUGAACUCCAGCAGUGACCUGGUUUAGAAGACAAAUACCCAGUGAGUUCCAGUAAAUAUGUUUGUUGUCACCUGCUUCAGUAACUACAGCUAUGCUGAAAAUCCCAGCCCAGGCUAUUCUGGAUGCUGAAGGGACUAAUGAGAAGGACCAUGAGCAGUGCUCUCCCUGCCCAGAGCUUAUGAAACAGGAGCAAACGGCUGACCUGGCACAAACUGCUCCUCACACAGCCUGGAAAAUUCAUCUCACUUCAUUAUUGAUGACCUCUUUUUAAAAGAGAUAUUUACCUCCAACCAAGAACUCUGAAAAAGCACAGCAAACCAAAGAACGAGUCCAAGAAUGAGUCAAACGUAUGUAUUUGCUGCCCCUCUGAGAUACCUGCCUGCCUACUUUUAAAGCAGCACCUGACUUAAAAGAAUAAUAAUCCUGUGAUUAAAUUAUUUAUACUUGAAACCAACUUGCAGAUGCUUCUGUCUGCUAAAAAAUACAUGAACUCUGAAGGCUUCAAAGACUAAAAGUACAGAUUUCACAUCUGAGAAUGUUUUGUAAAUCUUAUUUAAUCACAAUAAAAGACAUGGGAAGCAGCAUCAGAAGUGUGACAGCCACGAGUGGGCAUGAAGAGUCCUACAGCAGUUGGUGCUUUGUGACAAACAAAUACAGGAAGGAAGUUGUCCUGCAUGCCUCAAUCAGAACUUGUUCUGAGUUAUGUUUACAUUAGUACAGCCCACAAAAUUAAACCACUGCCUGCUGGAUAUGAGUUAAAUACAUGUUACAAUGUAAAUGAAGCAACAAAAGACAAAUUAGAAAAUAAAAAAGAAUAUCUAUCCCAUUACUAAUCACACGA